rnacentral:rRNA from 1 species
UACGAAGGGGGCUAGCGUUGUUCGGAGUUACUGGGCGUAAAGAGUGCGUAGGCGGUUUUCUAAGUUUGGUGUGAAAUCUCCCGGCUCAACUGGGAGGGUGCGCCGAAGACUGGAAGGCUAGAGUAUGGGAGAGGUAAGCGGAAUUCCUGGUGUAGCAGUGAAAUGCGUAGAUAUCAGGAGGAAUACCGAUGGCGAAGGCAGGUCUCUGGGCUAGAACUGACGCUCAUGCACGAAAGCGUGGGGAGCAAACAGG